rnacentral:rRNA from 1 species
CCUACGGGAGGCAGCAGUGGGGAAUAUUGCACAAUGGGGGAAACCCUGAUGCAGCGACGCCGCGUGAAGGAAGAAGUAUCUCGGUAUGUAAACUUCUAUCAGCAGGGAAGAAAAUGACGGCACCUGACUAAGAAGCCCCGGCUAACUACGUGCCAGCAGCCGCGGUAAUACGUCGGGGGCAAGCGUUAUCCGGAUUUACUGGGUGUAAAGGGAGUGUAGGUGGUGCAGCAAGUCAGAAGUGAAAGCCCGGGGCUCAACCCCGGGACUGCUUUUGAAACUGUUGAACUAGAUUGCAGGAGAGGUAGGUGGAAUUCCUAGUGUAGCGGUGAAAUGCGUAGAUAUUAGGAGGAACACCAAUGGCGAAGGCAGCUUACUAAACUGUAAAUGACACUGAGGCUCGAAAGCGUGGGGAGCAAACAGGAUUAGAUACCCCGGUAGUC